GUCGGGAUGGCCCAGCCUGGUACGGCGUCGGACUGCUAAUCCGAUGAUCUUACGAUCACGCGGGUUCAAAUCCCGUUCCCGGCGC
rnacentral:tRNA from 1 species